UGAGCCACUGCACCCCAGCCUGGGCGACAACGCGAGACUCUGUCUCCAACUAAUAAUAAACAUCAUCAUCAUCCUAUAAGCAUUAUACCUUAACCAAUGGAGUACUGUAAUUGAAUGAAGCAAAUACACAUCCUUAGCCAAAUAAGAUAGUAAAGUUCAGAUAGAUAGAUCAACUUCUCCAAAGGAGGUCAUGGGUCACCUGCAUUAGUCAGAAUCAUUUGGGAUUGUUGAAGAUAUAUUAAAAAUGCAGAUUUUCAGUACCCUCCACUACAAGGUGUACGAGUAGGAAUACGUAUUUUCAUCAACCAUCCCCAGGUGACUUUUAGGCACAUUAGCUUGAGAACAACAAUGAGCCAGGCGUAGUGGCUCACCCAAAAACUAUUUUUCUAAAAUUCAUGCAACAAGGGUGUCUGAUACAAAAAGAUAAUAGGAAAUAAAUACACAGAACUUAAAUCUUUCUGUCUAUUUCAGGCAAAAAGGUUUAAUGGGUAUAUAAGUAUACUAAAAAAAAAAAUUUUUUUUUUGGUAACAUUUUUAAGGAAUAAGAGUUUGGAAAUCUUUGGAAAUCCAAGGUCCUAGGUCUCCAAUUUCUUUAAGAGGGGAAAAAACUCACGAUUAGGACUAAAUGGAGAUGUCACUCUCUUACACUGAUAGUGAAAUAUUAACUGCCAGAAAGUACCUCCAGUCCCCAUUCAUGUUGUAUGACAGGAGCCUUUGUACUGAGGCCUAAUGAAAAAUCUCAACAGAGGAAGUGACUAUAUAUACCUAACAACUUACUAAUUUCAAAGUUCAUCCUGAUAGGCAUGUAGGUUUGUCUUGUUCAUCUGUGUCUAGUUACAGAUACUCACUUUCUGAACGUUUGUACGAAUGAAUAUGGCAACUUAAACUUUUCCAUUU